GCCUUUGUGGUGUAGUGGCAGCACGCUGGACGCGUAUUCCAGAGGCUUAUGGUUCGAGUCUCGACGAAGGCG
rnacentral:tRNA from 1 species